AGCGAACGCUGGCGGCAGGCCUAACACAUGCAAGUCGAGCGCCCCGCAAGGGGAGCGGCAGACGGGAGAGUAACACGUGGGAACGUACCCUUUGGUUCGGAACAACCCAGGGAAACUUGGGCUAAUACCGGAUAAGCCCUUACGGGGAAAGAUUCAUCGCCGAAGGAUCGGCCCGCGUCUGAUUAGCUAGUUGGUGGGGUAACGGCCCACUAAGGCGACGAUCAGUAGCUGGUCUGAGAGGAUGAUCAGCCUCACUGGGACUGAGACACGGCCCAGACUCCUACGGGAGGCAGCAGUGGGGAAUAUUGGACAAUGGGCGCAAGCCUGAUCCAGCCAUGCCGCGUGGGUGAUGAAGGCCCUAGGGUUGUAAAGCCCUUUCGGCGGGGAAGAUAAUGACGGUACCCGCAGAAGAAGCCCCGGCUAACUUCGUGCCAGCCGCCGCAGUAAAAC
rnacentral:rRNA from 1 species